CUAUGGUACCGGAAGGGUGCGCUGUU
rnacentral:piRNA from 1 species